rnacentral:rRNA from 1 species
UCUGGUUGAUCCUGCCGGACCUGACUGCUAUCGGAUUGAUACUAAGCCAUGCGAGUCAUUGUAGCAAUACGAGGCAGACGGCUCAGUAACGCGUAGUCAACCUAACCUAUGGACGGGAAUAACCUCGGGAAACUGAGAAUAAUGCCCGAUAGAACACUAUACCUGGAAUGGUUUGUGUUCCAAAUGAUUUAUCGCCGUAGGAUGGGACUGCGGCCUAUCAGUUUGUUGGUGAGGUAAUGGCCCACCAAGACUAUUACAGGUACGGGCUCUGAGAGGAGUAGCCCGGAGAUGGGUACUGAGACACGGACCCAGGCCCUAUGGGGCGCAGCAGGCGAGAAAACUUUGCAAUGUGCGAAAGCACGACAAGGUUAAUCCGAGUGGUUUCUGCUAAAGGAACCUUUUGUUAGUCCUAGAAACACUAACGAAUAAGGGGUGGGCAAGUUCUGGUGUCAGCCGCCGCGGUAAAGCCAGCACCUCAAGUGGUCAGGAUGAUUAUUGGGCCUAAAGCAUCCGUAGCCGGCUCUGUAAGUUUUCGGUUAAAUCUGUACGCUCAACGUACAGGCUGCCGGGAAUACUGCAGAGCUAGGGAGUGGGAGAGGUAGACGGUACUCGGUAGGAAGGGGUAAAAUCCUUUGAUCUAUUGAUGACCACCUGUGGCGAAGGCGGUCUACCAGAACACGUCCGACGGUGAGGGAUGAAAGCUGGGGGAGCAAACCGGAUUAGAUACCCGGGUAGUCCCAGCUGUAAACUAUGCAAACUCAGUGAUGCAUUGGCUUGUGGCCAAUGCAGUGCUGCAGGGAAGCCGUUAAGUUUGCCGCCUGGGAAGUACGUACGCAAGUAUGAAACUUAAAGGAAUUGGCGGGGGAGCACCACAAGGGGUGAAGCCUGCGGUUCAAUUGGACUCAACGCCGGGA